GGGGCUGCGGCGGAUUAGGUAGUUGGUGGGGUAAUGGCCCACCAAGCCUACGAUCCGUACGGGCCCUGAGAGGGGGAGCCCGGAGAUGGACACUGAGACACGGGUCCAGGCCCUACGGGGCGCAGCAGGCGCGAAACCUCCGCAAUGCGCGAAAGCGCGACGGGGGGACCCCGAGUGCCCUGCCUCUGGCAGGGCUUUUCCGGAGUGUAAACAGCUCCGGGAAUAAGGGCUGGGCAAGUCCGGUGCCAGCAGCCGCGGUAAUACCGGCGGCCCAAGUGGUGGCCACUGUUAUUGGGCCUAAAGCGUCCGUAGCCGGCCCGGUAAGUCUCUGCUUAAAUCCCGCGGCUUAACCGCGGGGCUGGCAGAGAUACUGCCGGGCUUGGGACCGGGAGAGGCCGGGGGUACCCCAGGGGUAGCGGUGAAAUGCGUUGAUCCCUGGGGGACCACCUGUGGCGAAGGCGCCCGGCUGGAACGGGUCCGACGGUGAGGGACGAAGGCCGGGGGAGCAAACCGGAUUAGAUACCCGGGUAGUCCCGGCUGUAAACUCUGCGGACUAGGUGUCGCGUGCCCUUCGGGGGCACGCGGUGCCGAAGGGAAGCCGUUAAGUCCGCCGCCUGGGGAGUACGGUCGCAAGACUGAAACUCAAAGGAAUUGACGG
rnacentral:rRNA from 1 species